UUUAUGGAGAGUUUGAUCCUGGCUCAGGAUGAACGCUGGCGGCGUGCCUAAUACAUGCAAGUCGAGCGAACGGAUGAGAAGCUUGCUUCUCUGAUGUUAGCGGCGGACGGGUGAGUAACACGUGGAUAACCUACCUAUAAGACUGGGAUAACUUCGGGAAACCGGAGCUAAUACCGGAUAAUAUUUUGAACCGCAUGGUUCAAAAGUGAAAGACGGUCUUGCUGUCACUUAUAGAUGGAUCCGCGCUGCAUUAGCUAGUUGGUAAGGUAACGGCUUACCAAGGC
rnacentral:rRNA from 1 species